GACGAACGCUGGCGGCGUGCUUAACACAUGCAAGUCGAACGGAAAGGCCCUGCAUUUGUGGGGUGCUCGAGUGGCGAACGGGUGAGUAACACGUGAGUAACCUGCCCUUGACUUUGGGAUAACUUCAGGAAACUGGGGCUAAUACCGGAUAGGAGCUCCUGCUGCAUGGUGGGGGUUGGAAAGUUUCGGCGGUUGGGGAUGGACUCGCGGCUUAUCAGCUUGUUGGUGGGGUAGUGGCUUACCAAGGCUUUGAAGGGUAGCCGGCCUGAGAGGGUGACCGGCCACAUUGGGACUGAGGUACGGCCCGGACUCCUACGGGCGGCAGCAGUGGGGAAUAUUGCACGAUGGGCGGAAGCCUGAUGCAGCAACGCCGCGUGCGGGAUGACGGCCUUCGGGUUGUAAACCGCUUUCGCCUGUGACGAAGCGUGAGUGACGGUAAUGGGUAAAGAAGCACCGGCUAACUACGUG
rnacentral:rRNA from 1 species